UUUUCACAGCAGGUUUGUUACUUCAGCUUUAACACAUUUGACAGGAAGGAUUUCUUUAUUUUGAUGAUGUUGGUUUAUUUGUGAGGAAACCUGCUGCUUUACACCAUCACUUCUGGUCUGAGCAGGACUGAGACCUGCUGGUCUGUAAACUGGAUGUUCUUCAGUCCAGCUGAUGAAGUGAGUCUCAGAGUGGAAACACUGAUCGUCUUUUUUUCUCUCCUCAGGUGGAGUUAACAUCUGUCAGAGUGAUUAAGAAGAGGAUCAUGUGUUUCCUGAUGAUCAGAGAGGUGGAGGCAGCAGCAGUGAGGGUGAGGUGAGUCUCUGACUGGGCCGUGUUACUGAGAGACUGACUGACCAAUCACAGCGGGCGGAGAGGACUCUGGGAGCUGCACUUUGACCUGCUCUGAGAUCAGCUCAGGACCUGGACUCUGGAUAUUUGAUAUUUUCCCUCAUAUUCUGGGAUCAAACAGU